CCACCCUGCAGGGGGCGGAGCCGGCCUCCAGGCUGACCGGAGAUUCCUGUGGGGGAAACCCACCCGCAAUGCCCACCCCCUCAAGGGUUCUUCAGGUUGAUGGUGUUGCUGUCAGCCAGAAGAGGGUCUCGCCACUUCUUCCUCCUCAAGGAAGGAGAGGGCUCUCCGUCCCUACUCCCUCGCAGGAAGUAGGAAGUUCCUUCUGUUGUCUGCCAGGCUUCCAACUUCAGAGAUGGUGGCAGAUAUUGACAAUCAGAUCGAUACGCAGCUGCAAGACCCGCUGACCAAGGACGAGGUGGCUACCGCUCCUCUGGCCAAGCGGCUGGAACCAGGUGAUGAGAGGUCCACUCUUCCCUCCCCGCCAUCCUGGGAGGAAUGAAGCACGAGUAAGCCCGGUGCUGGGAAUCCAUGAGCGUGGGAGAUCCUGGUUCUCAAGAAGCUCACAGAGGAACAGUGGUCUAAAGGCUGAGUUCCCAGGCCUGUUCCUAAGAAGCGUCUUCCAGCAGCCCUGGACCUCUCCAGUCUCAACAUUCUGCUUUCCCGACGUCGGAAACAGCCGGAAAAUAAACACCCUGAUGACUAAACGGUUUCUCCAGCUAGAGCCUGGGGAAGAAGCACUAAAAAUAGAGGCCACAAAUGAGGGGAGGUUCCCCACUUGGGGGGGGCACUUUCCCAUCCCGACACCGCCUCCAACCCGGCCCAAGGCUCCAUUCUCCAGGUCCUUGGGGAAGGGGAAGAAGGACCGCUGCCUAUCCCGGAGUCUUGGGCAAGCUAGCCCUGCCUGGUGCCCUGACUCCCAGAUCCAACAGAGAGCUGAGAAGCUGCAUCUGGGGACACUGUAUAAAUCAGGUUUCCUGAGGGAGAGGCCAAAUAGAAGGGUUGGAAACUGAGGCCAAGGAAACAGGAGCCUGCUGGCCUCCUGUCUUAGGAAGUACAAGAUAAGCUCCAACCUAUUUGCAGAAUAAUUCCUCUGAACUUCUCCUCUGAGGCUUGCUUGCAUGGGCUACCAGGGACCCGAAGGAGUCCUUCCAAACCAGCCCUUAGUUAUUAUAAUGCAGCAUGGGCACUCAGCAAAGCCAUCUACUUAUAUGAACUAAUUGACUCUUCACACCCAAUUUAUGAGUUAGGUAGUCUUAUCACCAGCUCCAUGUUCCCCGGGAGAAUCAUGAGGUGGAGGAAGUUAAAUAAUGUGCAGGUAUUCACAGUUAACAAGUGGCGGGGCAAGGACUGGCACCAGGGCAGCCUGCCUGCAAAGCUGGCUUCUAACCCCCAGGACAUGGUGCCUCUCUGUGUAUAUUGGUCUCUCCAGCACUAACCCAGAAUUGAGCCUUUGUCUAGUAAAUCAGACCUAGCCAGAUAGAAAUCAGGGUGUGCGAGGGACUGAGAACCUCUCUGUUCUGCAAGGCUCUUUUGAGACCUAAGCCAAAUUCAAGCAUUUUCGCAAGCUCCAGGUGGAAAGCAGGACUUGGAAGUCGCAGGAAUUGGGGGGGGGGGGGGGGCUGAUGGGCCAGUUGUCCAGCGGCCUGGCACCCACCCUCUCUCGGAGGACACUUCGAGACUCACCACUCCCUGAGGCCAACAGGAAUUUUUUUAAAAAUUAUUUUUAAAAGCUACUGCUACAUCUUUAAUAAGAUGUUUCUGAGUAUUUCCUGUGUGGCAGGUGGGGGGUGGUUAGGGUGCCGCCCCUUUAAAU